rnacentral:lncRNA from 13 species
CAAGAGUCCAUUGUGAAGCUGAGAACCCAGAGGUUCAGAGCAGUGACAAGAACUUUCUCUGCAGUGCAGCCGGCAUUGACAGUUCUAGCUGUCUCUUCAUUGACUGCUGUGCCAUCCAAGGUAUGAGAUGCUGUGAUCCAGUCCUGAAGGUGAAUUUUCUCUUUCUCUCCAGGGAAGAAACUGCCCAUGGGAAACUGCCCUCCGAAUCCUCAGUGCUGGUCCCUUAUUGGGAGCAAAGUUGGAGGUCUCUUGCUGCUGUUGCUGUCUCCUGGGGUCUGAAGAGAUUAAUGGAGGAAAAGUCUGCAAAAGUUCGUGUCUUAUCAGGGAGUCCGGUUCCGACUAUUGCUUUACCUCAUGCUGUUUCUUGCGUUCUGGCGUGUACCUUAACCAGUUGUUUCUGCUGUUCUUGAAAGUCAGACAGAUUGUAUACCUAAGGAAAUAUUUUAAUGUUGGAAGGUAAGUACAACUUUGUCUACCAGGUUUUCAGUGUGGAGUGGUUUGUGUUAGUCUAGCCAGGAGUUGGGCUUGGUUUCACAGUUGCUGUUUCUUUUGUUGCUCUCAGAGCAUCAGAGGCUUCACUUUCCACCAGUAAAAUGCCGUUUGUGUGUAGUUAAUAAACCACAGCAUUUUUUUUCUCA